rnacentral:rRNA from 1 species
GUCCCGCCUGCCCUGUGACUAUAUGUUUAACGGCCGCGGUAUUUUGACCGUGCGAAGGUAGCGCAAUCACUUGUCUUUUAAAUGGAGACCUGUAUGAAAGGCAUCACGAGGGCUUAGCUGUCUCCCCUUUAAAGUCAAUGAAAUUGAUCUCCCCGUGCAGAAGCGGGGAUAUACUCGUAAGACGAGAAGACCCUAUGGAGCUUAAGAUAAAAGGCGAGUCAUGUCAAACACCCCCUCAAAGGAAAUGAACGAAAUGAUACCCCGCUGGAAUGUCUUCGGUUGGGGCGACCGCGGGGAAAGACAAAACCCCCACAUGGACCAGGGCCACUAUAGCCCUAAAACCUAGACCCACAGGUCAAGUCAACAGUAAAUCUGACCACCAAAGAGCCGGCAAUGCCGAUCAACGGACCGAGUUACCCUAGGGAUAACAGCGCAAUCCCCUCCCAGAGCCCUUAUCGACGAGGGGGUUUACGACCUCGAUGUUGGAUCAGGACAUCCUAAUGGUGCAGCCGCUAUUAAGGGUUCGUUUGUUCAACGAUUAAAGUCCU